rnacentral:rRNA from 1 species
UACGGGGGGAGCAAGCGUUGUUCGGAUUUACUGGGCGUAAAGGGCGCGUAGGCGGCGCAACAAGUCACUUGUGAAAUCUCCGGGCUUAACCCGGAGCGGCCAAGUGAUACUGUCGUGCUAGAGUGCGGAAGGGGCUACUGGAAUUCUCGGUGUAGCGGUGAAAUUCGUAGAUAUUCGGAGGAACACCAGUGGCGAAGGCGGCUUACUGGUCCAUUACUGACGCUGAGGUGCGAAAGCGUGGGGAGCAAACAGG